GACUCGUCACACUAUCAUUAACUGAAUCCAUAGGUUAAUGAGGCGAACCGGGGGAACUGAAACAUCUAAGUACCCCGAGGAAAAGAAAUCAACCGAGAUUCCCCCAGUAGCGGCGAGCGAACGGGGAGGAGCCCAGAGCCUGAAUCAGCAUGUGUGUUAGUGGAAGCGUCUGGAAAGGCGCGCGAUACAGGGUGACAGCCCCGUACACAAAAGCGCAUGUGCUGUGAGCUCGAUGAGUAGGGCGGGACACGUGGUAUCCUGUCUGAAUAUGGGGGGACCAUCCUCCAAGGCUAAAUACUCCUGACUGACCGAUAGUGAACCAGUACCGUGAGGGAAAGGCGAAAAGAACCCCGGCGAGGGGAGUGAAAAAGAACCUGAAACCGUGUACGUACAAGCAGUGGGAGCACCCUUUGGGGUGUGACUGCGUACCUUUUGUAUAAUGGGUCAGCGACUUAUAUUCUGUAGCAAGGUUAACCGAAUAGGGGAGCCGGAGGGAAACCGAGUCUUAAUUGGGCGUUAAGUUGCAGGGUAUAGACCCGAAACCCGGUGAUCUAGCCAUGGGCAGGUUGAAGGUUGGGUAACACUAACUGGAGGACCGAACCGACUAAUGUUGAAAAAUUAGCGGAUGACCUGUGGCUGGGGGUGAAAGGCCAAUCAAACCGGGAGAUAGCUGGUUCUCCCCGAAAGCUAUUUAGGUAGCGCCUCGUGAAUUCAUCUCCGGGGGUAGAGCACUGUUUCGGCUAGGGGGCCAUCCCGGCUUACCAACCCGAUGCAAACUGCGAAUACCGGAGAAUGUUAUCACGGGAGACACACGGCGGGUGCUAACGUCCGUCGUGAAGAGGGAAACAACCCAGACCGCCAGCUAAGGUCCCAAAGUCAUGGUUAAGUGGGAAACGAUGUGGGAAGGCCCAGACAGCCAGGAUGUUGGCUUAGAAGCAGCCAUCAUUUAAAGAAAGCGUAAUAGCUCACUGGUCGAGUCGGCCUGCGCGGAAGAUGUAACGGGGCUAAACCAUGCAC
rnacentral:rRNA from 3 species